CAGUAGCCGCGGUAAUACGUAUGUCACGAGCGUUAUCCGGAUUUAUUGGGCGUAAAGCGCGUCUAGGUGGUUAUAUAAGUCUGAUGUGAAAAUGCAGGGCUCAACUCUGUAUUGCGUUGGAAACUGUAUAACUAGAGUACUGGAGAGGUAAGCGGAACUACAAGUGUAGAGGUGAAAUUCGUAGAUAUUUGUAGGAAUGCCGAUGGGGAAGCCAGCUUACUGGACAGAUACUGACGCUGAAGCGCGAAAGCGUGGGUAGCAAACAGGAUUAGAUACCCCAGUAGUCCCUGUCUCUUAUACA
rnacentral:rRNA from 1 species